rnacentral:rRNA from 1 species
CAGCCGCCACGGUAAUACGGAGGGUGCAAGCGUUAAUCGGAAUUACUGGGCGUAAAGCGCACGCAGGCGGUCUGACAAGUCAGAUGUGAAAUCCCCGGGCUUAACCUGGGAACUGCAUUUGAAACUGUCAGGCUGGAGUCUUGUAGAGGGGGGUAGAAUUCCAGGUGUAGCGGUGAAAUGCGUAGAGAUCUGGAGGAAUACCGGUGGCGAAGGCGGCCCCCUGGACAAAGACUGACGCUCAGGUGCGAAAGCGUGGGGAGCAAACAGGAUUAGAUACCCCGGUAGUCCCUGUCUCUUAUAA